GAUGCAGCAACGCCGCGUGAGGGACGACGGCCUUCGGGUUGUAAACCUCUUUUAGCAGGGAAGAAGCGAAAGUGACGGUACCUGCAGAAAAAGCGCCGGCUAACUACGUGCCAGCAGCCGCGGUAAUACGUAGGGCGCAAGCGUUAUCCGGAAUUAUUGGGCGUAAAGAGCUCGUAGGCGGUUUGUCGCGUCUGCUGUGAAAUCCCGAGGCUCAACCUCGGGUCUGCAGUGGGUACGGGCAGACUAGAGUGCGGUAGGGGAGAUUGGAAUUCCUGGUGUAGCGGUGGAAUGCGCAGAUAUCAGGAGGAACACCGAUGGCGAAGGCAGAUCUCUGGGCCGUAACUGACGCUGAGGAGCGAAAGGGUGGGGAGCAAACAGGCUUAGAUACCCUGGUAGUCCACCCCGUAAACGUUGGGAACUAGUUGUGGGGUCCAUUCCACGGAUUCCGUGACGCAGCUAACGCAUUAAGUUCCCCGCCUGGGGAGUACGGCCGCAAGGCUAAAACUCAAAGGAAUUGACGGGGACCCGCACAAGCGGCGGAGCAUGCGGAUUAAUUCGAUGCAACGCGAAGAACCUUACCAAGGCUUGACAUAUACGAGAACGGGCCAGAAAUGGUCAACUCUUUGGACACUCGUAAACAGGUGGUGCAUGGUUGUCGUCAGCUCGUGUCGUGAGAUGUUGGGUUAAGUCCCGCAACGAGCGCAACCCUCGUUCUAUGUUGCCAGCACGUAAUGGUGGGAACUCAUGGGAUACUGCCGGGGUCAACUCGGAGGAAGGUGGGGAUGACGUCAAAUCAUCAUGCCCCUUAUGUCUUGGGCUUCACGCAUGCUACAAUGGCCCGGUACAAAGGGCUGCA
rnacentral:rRNA from 1 species